UACGUAGGGUGCAAGCGUUAAUCGGAAUUACUGGGCGUAAAGUGUGCGCAGGCGGCGUCGCAAGUCGAGUGUGAAAGCCCCGGGCUUAACUUGGGAAUUGCGCUCGAAACUACGAUGCUGGAGUGUGGCAGAGGAAGGUGGAAUUCCACGUGUAGCGGUGAAAUGCGUAGAGAUGUGGAGGAACACCAAUAGCGAAGGCAGCCUUCUGGGCCAACACUGACGCUCAUGCACGAAAGCGUGGGGAGCAAACAGG
rnacentral:rRNA from 1 species